UACGUAGGGGGCGAGCGUUGUCCGGAAUUAUUGGGCGUAAAGAGCUCGUAGGCGGUUUGUUGCGUCGGCUGUGAAAUCCCGAGGCUCAACCUCGGGUCUGCAGUCGAUACGAGCAAACUAGAGUGUUGCAGGGGAGACUGGAAUUCCUGGUGUAGCGGUGAAAUGCGCAGAUAUCAGGAGGAACACCGGUGGCGAAGGCGGGUCUCUGGGCAACAACUGACGCUGGAGGAGCGAAAAGCCGUGGGGAGC
rnacentral:rRNA from 1 species